rnacentral:tRNA from 1 species
GUCUCCGUAGUUCAAUGGAUAGAACAUAGCCCUCCGAAGGCUAAAAUCGAGGUUCGAUUCCUCGCGGGGGCA